GGCCAGACUCCUACGGGAGGCAGCAGUGGGGAAUAUUGCACAAUGGGGGAAACCCUGAUGCAGCAACGCCGCGUGAGUGAGGAAGUAUUUCGGUAUGUAAAGCUCUAUCAGCAGGGAAUAGAAAAGAAGGUACCUGAAAAAGAAGCCCCGGCUAACUACGUGCCAGCAGCCGCGGUAAUACGUAGGGGGCAAGCGUUAUCCGGAUUUACUGGGUGUAAAGGGGGCGCAGACGGCAGCGCAAGCCAGGAGUGAAAGCCCGGGGCCCAACCCCGGGACUGCUCUUGGAACUGCGGGGCUGGAGUGCAGGAGGGGCAGGCGGAAUUCCUGGGGUAGCGGUGA
rnacentral:rRNA from 1 species